rnacentral:rRNA from 1 species
GACGAAGGUGGCAAGCGUUGUUCGGAAUCACUGGGCUUAAAGCGUGUGUAGGCGGUCUGACAAGUGCCUUGUGAAAUCCCACGGCUCAACCGUGGAAUUGCUCGGUAGACUGUCGGACUUGAGGCAGGUAGGGGCGAGUGGAACUCAUGGUGGAGCGGUGGAAUGCGUAGAUAUCAUGAGGAACGCCGGAGGUGAAAACGACUCGCUGGGCCUGUCCUGACGCUGAGACACGAAAGCCAGGGGAG